CCUGUCAAGGACAGGAACAGGGGGUUAGUCCUCUGGCGUAUUCAACCAGUGCUUCGAUGUCAGUCUUCUUCCAUCAAGCAUUGGGCGUAGGUAAGACGGAUGCAUUUCCGAUGUAAACCGUGAACAAAUUAGUGUGCUUCAAACAAGCAGCGUGAAUAUGUGCUUCGGUACAUAUUUGAGCUUGAAUAAUUUAGCAUGGUACUAUGUUUCCCUUUUUCGGAAGGGAAUCAGAUAACAGAAGGGAUGGAGGACUCUGGUAUUGCGCGUCUAGAGGUGAAAUUCCGAUAUUUUCGCAAGACGAACGGAGGCGCAAGCGGUCGUGUCCAUUGUAUCUUCAUUGAUCAGGAACGAGAGUCAGGGGAUCGAAGAUGAUUAGAUACCGUCGUAGUCCUGACUGUAAACGAUGCCAACUCAACUUCAAGUGUGAUACGAUAUUAGGGAUCUUCUUGGAAUUGACGGGAAACCAUUAAGUUAUUGGGUUCUGGGGGGAGUAUGGUCGCAAGGCUGAAACUUAAAGGAAUUGACGGAAAGACACCACCAGGAGUGGAGUUUGCGGCUUAAUUCGACUCAACGCGGGAAAACUCACCAGGACAGGACAGUGUCGAGAUUGACAGGUGAAAGAGUCCUUUCUUGAUUUACUGGUUGGUGGUGCAUGGUCGUUCUUAGUUCGUGGAGUGAUCUGUCUACUUAAUUGUGCCAACGAACGAGACCUUGACCUAUUAGUUAGGCACCUGUUGACGAUUUCGGUCGUCAUGGGUUUCGGUUUUACUGAAAUCAGGUUAUUCCUUCGGGAUACUUCUUAAAGGGACAAGGCGACGUUGAAUAACGCAGCGUAAGGAAGAGCAAGGC
rnacentral:rRNA from 1 species